GGAAUCGUGAUCGCAAGGGAAAGAACGUAAUUUCAAAUUAAGCACUCGAGGUUGAGCGGCGACGAGGAUGUGUUGGUGUUGAGCGAGUGAAUUAAAUAUGUUAUUGAUGUCUUUGAACCUUGAGUGUCGUUGUGUCUUCACACAUGACGUCACUCUUUCUCUUGGUCGUUUCCGCUGUGACGUGUCUUAAAUUAUGAUUUAUUUGGGCCGACAACUUUAAUUGUUGGGGUAAUGGAUAUUCUGAAUUCCUUGUUGGAUAAUAUUAAACUCUUGGUUAUUUAUUUGGAUAUUAAUUGUUGGUCCAA